rnacentral:lncRNA from 1 species
AGGAAAGGCUGAGUCAGGCAGCAACCAGGGGGCCUGUGUGUAAAGUCUGGCUUCCGACACUGUGCUUUCCCUCUUUCCCCGCAUGUGCACUGCUCACGGCGCUCAGAGGUGCUGCCAGAGCCAGACUUUCUCUCUCAUUCAUUCAUGAACAGAUAUUCAUUGAUUUGAAAGAGAAAAAGGCUACUUUCCAGUGGAAAAAUUAUCUUUAUCAUUUUAAUAAAAGCACCAGUAAUGAGACAUAUUUAUGAUAUGACAGCACUUCUGUAAUAUUGCUGACAAAAUGCACAACUUGAGUUUAAUGAUGCAGAAACAUCAGGUAAGCUCUAAUUAAAGAAUAUGCAACAAAAUAGCUUGC